rnacentral:rRNA from 1 species
GUAGGGAAUAUUGGGCAAUGGUCGGAAGACUGACCCAGCCAUGCCGCGUGCAGGAAGACGGCCCUCUGGGUUGUAAACUGCUUUUAUCUGGGAAGAAAAAGGCCAUGCGUGGCAAAUUGCCGGUACCAGAUGAAUAAGCACCGGCUAACUCCGUGCCAGCAGCCGCGGUAAUACGGAGGGUGCAAGCGUUGUCCGGAUUUAUUGGGUUUAAAGGGUGCGUAGGCGGCUGAUUAAUGCAGCGGUGAAAGACUCCGGCUUUACCGGAGCAGUGCCGUUGAUACUGGUUAGCUUGAGUGUUGGAUGGGUACAUGGAAUUGAUGGUGUAGCGGUGAAAUGCAUAGAUACCAUCAGGAACACCGAUAGCGAAGGCAUUGUACUGGCCAACAACUGACGCUGAUGCACGAAAGUGUGGGGAUCGAACAGGAUUAGAAACCCCUGUAGUCC